CUUUCUCUUAUAGAGAAGCUCUUUUCUGGACAAAUUCUUUUCUUUACCUUGACCAUGAAGUGCCAUGGGAUGACCUUUUCCUAUUCCGCUCUUGCUUGACAUGAUAAACAAUAUUGCCCAGCAUUAUCUCAGUUAUUUAAUCAAUUUUAUGGUCCUUUUUUUAGGAUAAUUACUUUUCUGCACUUCCAUUCAAAAAUAAUAUUAAAUUAAAAAGAUUUCUUGCCUAUCUUUGUUAGAUUCAUGUACCUUUGUUGAAAUAGUGUACUUGAUA
rnacentral:lncRNA from 1 species